rnacentral:ncRNA from 1 species
GUACUGAAUAAGUGAGUGGGGAAUAAUGUGUGAAUCAUUAACUGUUCCUGCAACGGUAAAACCUAAAAGUUAAGUCCGAGCGCCACCCAGUAUAGCCCGCUGUUGAAUGAAGGCCAGGAAAAGUCUAGUUCUGCAAUUAAAAA